UCCCAAGGGGUCGUCAGGGACCAUGAAGAUGUUCCCCACGAAGAUGUAUUGCAGCAGGCUGAAGAACACACAAGUGGCAAGGUCAUUAUUCUAGACCGUGCAAGAGCAUUCCAGCGCAACUCCCUGCUACACGCAACCAUUUUGGCAGCGACCGAGCCAAAGGCAGCCUGCGUUACAGUGAUAACAGGAUGUGAGUGUCUCCCAGCUGUAUCUCGGUGUCUGUGCCCAAGGAUAGCCUUCUCAAAAGAAGGGAAAGAGCAAGCAAGCAGAUAUUCUGGCGCAGAGUUUAUAUUCUUUUCGGUGCCCGUCCAUGACUCACAUCAGCUGAGCAAGCGGCAAAGGAAGAGGUGGAAGUUGGGGGAGAGGAAGGCGCCCGCCUGCGUGGACAUGGGGAAACAUCCGUCACGUGUGCCAACGGUCCACAGAGAACAGUGCUGACCUGUCAUCGUAGGGCACGAUGCCCUUCCCGUCGAUUUUGCGCGAUGGCGUCACUGAGAGGAUGCUCAGGUACCAAGACGGUCACUUCCCGGUGACCACGAUCCCAGAAAUACUGCACAGCCAGAGCGAUGCCCCGGCAUGAGAAAAACUGGUUCAGCCCAUGCCUGCAAAGACAGCAGGAGGUAGUCCGAGGUUCAAGGCACAGCUUAAAUCUAAGAGAGCUGCACUGGAUCAGACCCAGGAUCCAGCUCAUCCAGCAUCCUGAUCACCCAGUGACUGGCACACAACCCUGCAAGAGGACAGGAUUACAACCGCACCCUCCCACCCAUGUUCCCCAGCAUGGAAUCUUGGGGGAAUCCCUUGGGUCACCCGAGUAACAGUAGCACAGGUAAACAGGAAACCCAGCAGAAAAAUUCUCAAUAAAGAAGUCAAAGGAG